rnacentral:rRNA from 1 species
CCUACGGGGGGCUGCAGUGAGGAAUAUUGGUCAAUGGGCGGAAGCCUGAACCAGCCAAGUCGCGUGCAGGAUGACGGCCCUACGGGUUGUAAACUGCUUUUAUACGGGAAUAACGCGCCUUACGUGUAGGGCUUUGCAUGUACCGUAUGAAUAAGGACCGGCUAAUUCCGUGCCAGCAGCCGCGGUAAUACGGAGGGUCCGGGCGUUAUCCGGAUUUAUUGGGUUUAAAGGGAGCGUAGGCCGCAUGUCAAGCGUGCUGUGAAAUGUCCGGGCUCAACUCGGGCCUUGCAGCGCGAACUGGCGGGCUUGAGUCCACGGGAAGCAGGCGGAAUGCGUCGUGUAGCGGUGAAAUGCUUAGAUAUGACGAAGAACCCCGAGUGCGAAGGCAGCUUGCUGCAGCGGAACUGACGCUGAUGCUCGAAAGCGCGGGGAGCGAACAGGAUUAGAUACCCCAGUAGUC